UACGUAGGUGGCAAGCGUUGUCCGGAAUUACUGGGCGUAAAGCGUGCGCGGGCGGCUUUGCAAGACAGAUGUGAAAUCCCCGGGCUUAACCUGGGAACUGCAUUUGUGACUGCAAGGCUAGAGUGCGGCAGAGGGGGAUGGAAUUCCGCGUGUAGCAGUGAAAUGCGUAGAUAUGCGGAGGAACACCGAUGGCGAAGGCAAUCCCCUGGGCCUGCACUGACGCUCAUGCACGAAAGCGUGGGGAGCAAACAGG
rnacentral:rRNA from 1 species